GGCCAGGUGGCUGAGUGGUCUAAAGCGAUAGACUCGAAAGAAAUUUCGCAGAUAUCUAUUCCCUUCGGGGGCAUCCGUUCGAAUCGGGUCCUGGUCG